rnacentral:rRNA from 1 species
UACAGAGGGGCAAGCGUUGUUCGGAAUUACUGGGCGUAAAGGGCGCGUAGGCGGCCUUCUAAGUCGAACGUGAAAUCCCCGGGCUCAACCCGGGAACUGCGUCCGAUACUGGAAGGCUUGAAUCCGGGAGAGGGAUGCGGAAUUCCAGGUGUAGCGGUGAAAUGCGUAGAUAUCGGGAGGAACACCAGUGGCGAAGGCGGCUUCCUGGACCGGUUCUGACACUGAGGAGCGAAAGCGUGGGGAGCGAUCCGG